rnacentral:snRNA from 1 species
AAAAAAAGAAUGUAACAAUAGAACAAAUACUAAGAAACAUUAAUGGAUUAAGAAGUCCUCCCUCAGAAUGGCAACUUGAUUGCUCUGUGUGCAGAAUUCACAUCAAGAGAUUUUGCAGGCAUAAGAUUUUGGUACCUGGGUAGCUAGUGAUCGUUGGUCCUGGUGUCCUA